AGUGAAGCUGGCCCUCCACAUUUUGUUUAGCUUUUUUAAAGGAUCAAAUGAAAUCUUUCAAUUAAUUUGAAAUCAAAUUUAGCAUUUGUGACAUGACACUAAUUGAACAAAAGAAAUUUUUAAAAUUUUUAAUUAGAAAACAUUUUCAGGGUAUUACCAUCAUACUUUAUUUGUGGAAAAUAAACAGAGCUAGCAAAUUAAAAUUGCAACAUAUUUGACUACAUUUAUCUGUAAUUAAUAACGUGUCUUAAAGCCUGUUCUUAACACUGGGAUAAAAAGUUAAUAUGCAAGGUUAGAAUUAUUGUUUACUGAUUAUAGUUUAAUUAAUUGCUUUAUACAUUUUAUUUUUAUCUACUUACGAUACAGUCAAUGAACAUGGUUGCUCACAAAGUAUAGGUCAAGUGGCUUAAGUGAUUUUUCAAAUGAAGACUAAGAGUUUUAAUUCUGUGUUAUAUUUAAAACAAUGAUGGAUCUACAAGACUUAAAUUUCCGUAAUGAUUGCAGCUUAUAUUAAGGAAAGAUUUGGUUGUCAGAGAUAGGAGUCUCUAAUCUCAUUUUCAUAGCUAAUUAUGGGGUAAGUUUAGAAAAUCACACAGAAGAAAGAGCAUCCUUCUUCUAGAUUCUCCUUGAGUAAAAUGAUAACAACCUUAUGUUCUCUAAAACAGAGAUUUUUGGGUAUACCUUUUUAAUAUAAUUCAGGAUUACAGUGUUUCCCAAACUAACCAAACAGAAAGACACUGGAACAAUUAAUUGCCUUGUUUCUGAAGUCUUUUAGUGAUUUUGUUCAGAUUGUUUAACACCUUAUCAGUGCUUUGUUUUGUCUUGUUUUGUUUAACAUGCAGGUAGCUGUACAUAAUAUUCAGACCUCUCCUAAAAUUCUAUACAUCUCUUGUUCUAUAACAUCACAACACACUGAUUUAGUGUUUGAUGUAGAUUGAAUGCCUUCCUGGCUUUGUGACUUCACACAAGUUACUCAAUCUCUUUAAUCCUUUGGUUUGUCUCUGGAAUUAGCAAUGAAAAUGUAUACUUCAUAGUGUUGUUUUGAGAUAAUAUAAUGAAGGAACUAAAACAUGCCACAACUGCUAAUAAUUACAUGCUGGUAUUUGCUUUUUCCUAUUUUGCCCUGUGCAAACUUUGGCUCAAGUAGACAAAGGUUUGAACCCCAAUACUAAUAUUUAUUUGCUAAAGUUACUAAUGAUUUAAUACGUGAGAGUAUUCAUUUUUAUAUCAAAUGGGGAUUGACCACCCAGAAGUAAAUUUGACACCAUAUGUAAAAGUGCUUUACACACAGUAGGCAGACAGUGAUUUUUUAUUAAAGAAACUUGAAAUAGGACUUGUUUUUCUGUAUUUUCUGCUAAAGACAUGAUUGUCAAAUCAGAUUUGUUGAUUUUAAAGGAAGUUGGCCCACAGAGUACCAGUUACCUUCAGCAGAUGAAAAUGACCAGAGAAGGGAUAAAGGUUAAGGGAUAAAGAGAGAAACAGCAGACAAGGUCUCAUUCUGAGAGUGUGCAGCUUGGUGAGAGGACAAGUGUGGAAACUAGAUAAGGUCUUAGUACUGCAAGGUGUGCAUCUAUGUGCACUCAGGCUCUUCUGAAACCUGCCCUCUCUAUGGCAUGUCCCACUAUCCAUGUUUGGUCAUUAACUCUCUAGAUGUUUUCUCUGUCCUCCCACUCUCCUUCUAAGCAUCACAACACAAACAUCAGCAGAACCAAAGCAGUAACCACCUGUAUGAGGUUACUGUGUUGGUAGUAUUCAGUUUGGAAGAAAUGAGGCCCAGGGGAAUCCAAAUGAGGAUUUCUUCUCAGAAUAAUGUUGUAUUGCCCCAAUCAAUUUGCAGAAUGCUGGGACAGUAGAGAAUGUCAUCAGAUAAGCAUCCAAAUCCCUAUAACAUGAUUCUAAUUAAAUCCUUGGCAGGAAAAAAACAAGUGUCUUCAUACCACUCUGAGGAGGAAAUCCAUGAUCCAUCUCAAGCAGAGAGAUUCCUAUUUAAAUUACUCCAUAUUCAAAUUGAGCUGAAUUAGAAAUAGAAACCUCUCUUCCCAGAUGGAGAAAAAGAAUACGUUGGAAAAUUCUACUUUUUACAAAUAUCCUACAAAAAUUCAUUCAAUUGAUAUUUUUGAUCACUUACUGUGUAAGAUUAUGUGCCAAUACAGAUGAGGAGGUAAAUGAACUGGAUACACUUUUGCCAUGUUUUGUCUGGAAAGGUUUGAUGUAAAAAUUUAUGAAAUUCCAUAAACAAUAUCAAGUAUCAAAGAUUCUACACUGUGGUGGAGAUGGAGUAGUAUUCUCUCAGAGGCUCCCUCUGAUGUGCUAAGAGACAGUUUUCUAUAAUACUGCAGCCUUAAAGAAAUAUAUGCUGGUUCUAGGAAAUCAAGAAAGAAGUAAUAUAUUUGAGGAUUUGUUUAAAAGAAAAAAUAUUCAUGGUAUUUGUUAAAGAUGGCAAGGCAGAUUUCAUUCAAGGGAAUCUACUGCAGUGGGGUUUUGUAAUAAGGAAAAGAAAAGGAACUAAACUCUAACUCCAAUAAGCACAAGCAGUAAUUUAAGGGACAGGGUGAGGGUCGGUGGAUGUAAAAUUACUGAGAGGAAAUAUCUGGGGUAAGAGAGAUUCCUUUUUAUUAUUAUUAAAGUAUAUUUGAUUUACGGUUUUGUGUCACUGUUUACUGCACAGCAUAGUGACUCAGUCUCACAUUCUUUUCCUCAUACUUUCUCCUAUCAUGGUCUAUCCCAGGGGAUUAGAUAUAGUUCCCUUCGCUAUACAGCAGGACCUCAUUGCUUAUCUAUUCUAAAUGCAACAGUUUGCAUCUACUGACCCCAAACUUCCCAUCCAUCCUACUCUCCCCCUUCCCCACCCCCCAGCAGCCACAAGUCUGUUCUCUAUGUCCAUGGGUCUGUUUCUGUUUUAUAGAUAGGUUCAUUUGUGACAUAUUUUAGGUUCCACUUAUGUGAUAUUAUAUGGUAUUUGUCUUUCUCUUUCUGACUUCACUUAGUAUGAUAAUCAUUAGGAAUAUCCAUCCAUUUUUUUUAUUUUUAGUGUGUAUUUUUAUUAAAGAAUAGUUGAUUUACAAUGUUGUGUCAAUUGCUGCUGUACAGCAAAGUGACGCAGUAAUGCAUAUACAUACAUUAUUUUUCUCAUAUUAUCUUCCAUCAUGUUCCAUCUUAAGAGUUUGGAUAUAAUUCCCUGUGCUAUAUAUGAGGACCUCAUUGCUUAUCCAUUCUAAAUGUAAUAGUCUGUAUCUACUAACGCCAAAUUCCCCAUCCAUCCCACUCCCUCUCUCCUCCUCCUUUGCAACCACAAGUCUGUUCUCUAUGUCUGCGAGUCUGUUUCUGUUUUGUAGAUCGGUUCAUUCAUGCCAUAAUUUAGAUUACACAUAUAAGUGAUAUCAUAUCGUAUUUGUCUUUCUAUUUCUGACUUUUUUCAUUAAGAAAAAGAAAAACUUUCAAGUAAAUUAUUGUUUCUUUCUCUUGUAGUUUUCAUAAAUACUGAGGAGAAAAAAAAGCUGCUUUAUUUUAUGAUUCAAUUUACCUUAUAUCACUUAUACUCUGUAGCAGCAUUAAAUUAUAUUUCUCAAAAAUGUACUAGUACAUAAAUCUCACCACAAUAGUUUGAAGAUUCUACUUUAAAUAAUGCAUAAUGAUAUUUUGCUCUUUAGUGCUAAUUAACCCAGCAUGCUUCACAGUGUUUGAGAAUUUAGUAGUUUAAAUAAAUUCAUGUCAUGAAAAUUCAACACAAAAAUAUUAUUCUUCUGUAGAAUAUAUUAUGUUUUAAAUGGCAUGAAAAUAUCCAUUUUAAUAACUCUUUACAGAAAUAAACUUCUAAUUAUAUGUGUAUUUUAAUCAGGUACAGUUAAAUAGAAGAUAAAA
rnacentral:lncRNA from 1 species